rnacentral:rRNA from 1 species
UAGCUCCUACGGGAGGCAGCAGUGGGGAAUAUUGCACAAUGGGGGAAACCCUGAUGCAGCGACGCCGCGUGCGUGAAGAAGUAAUUCGUUAUGUAAAGCUCUAUCAGCAGGGAAGAAAAUGACGGUACCUGAGUAAGAAGCCCCGGCUAACUACGUGCCAGCAGCCGCGGUAAUACGUAGGGGGCAAGCGUUAUCCGGAUUUACUGGGUGUGAAGGGAGCGUAGACGGCAGUGCAAGUCUGGAGUGAAAGGCGGGGGCUCAACCCCCGGACUGCUCUGGAAACUGUACGGCUGGAGGGCAGGAGG